rnacentral:ncRNA from 1 species
AUUUAAGAGAGUUUGAUUCUGGCUCAGGAUGAACGCUGGCGGCGUGGAUAAGGCAUGCAAGUCAAGGGGGUUUUGGGAGCAAUUUCAAAACAACCGGCGAACGAGUUAGUAACACCUUGGUACAUAACCUAAAGUCGGGCACAACCCCGCGAAAGCGGAGCUAAUUCCCGAUGUUGAAGCAAUUCCAAAGGAGCAAUCCGCUUUGGGAGUGGCCUAGGUCCUAUCAGCUUGUUGGCGGGGUAAAAGCCCACCAAGGCUAUGACGGGUAGGGGGCGUGAGAGCGCGUUCCUCAACGACGACACUGAGAUACGGGUCGUACACCUACGGGUGGCAGCAGUCAAGAACAUUCGACAAUGGGCGAAAGCCUGAUCGAGCGACGCCGCGUGCAGGAAGAAGUCCU